GACGAACGCUGGCGGCGUGCCUAAUACAUGCAAGUAGAACGCUGAAGAGAGGAGCUUGCUCUUCUUGGAUGAGUUGCGAACGGGUGAGUAACGCGUAGGUAACCUGCCUUGUAGCGGGGGAUAACUAUUGGAAACGAUAGCUAAUACCGCAUAACAAUGGAUGACACAUGUCAUUUAUUUGAAAGGGGCAAUUGCUCCACUACAAGAUGGACCUGCGUUGUAUUAGCUAGUAGGUGAGGUAAUGGCUCACCUAGGCGACGAUACAUAGCCGACCUGAGAGGGUGAUCGGCCACACUGGGACUGAGACACGGCCCAGACUCCUACGGGAGGCAGCAGUAGGGAAUCGUCGGCAAUGGGGGCAACCCUGACCGAGCAACGCCGCGUGAGUGAAGAAGGUUUUCGGAUCGUAAAGCUCGGUUGUAAGUCAAGAACGGGUGUGAGAGUGGAAAGUUCACACUGUGACGGUAGCUUACCAGAAAGGGACGGCUAACUACGUG
rnacentral:rRNA from 1 species